rnacentral:rRNA from 1 species
UACGAAAGGGGCUAGCGUUGUUCGGAAUUACUGGGCGUAAAGCGCACGUAGGCGGCCAUGUAGGUUGGGGGUGAAAUCCCGGGGCUCAAGCCCGGAACUGCCUUCAAAACUACAUAGCUAGAGGAUGUGAGAGGAUAGUGGAAUUCCGUGUGUAGAGGUGAAAUUCGUAGAUAUUCGGAAGAACACCGGGGGCGAAGGAGACUGUCGGGCACAUUUCUGACGCUGAGGUUCGACAUCGUGGGGAGCAAACAGG